ACGUCAAAUCAUCAUGCCCUAUAUGUCCUGGGCUACACACGUACUACAAUGGCCGUGACAAAGGGAAGCGAAAUAGAGAUAUGGAGCGAAACCCAAAAAGCGGUCUCAGUUCGGAUUGAAGGCUGAAAUUCGCCUACAUGAAGCUGGAAUUGCUAGUAAUGGCAGGUCAGCAUACUGUCGUGAAUACGUUCCCGGGCCUU
rnacentral:rRNA from 1 species